rnacentral:rRNA from 1 species
CUGGUUGAUCCUGCCAGACCCGACUGCUGUCAGAGUGGGACUAAGCCAUGCGAGUCGACAUAGCAAUAUGUGGCAUACGGCUCAGUAACACGUAGUCAACAUGCCCAGGGGACGUGGAUAACCUCGGGGAACUGAGGAUAAACCGCGAUAGGUCAUCACUUCUGGAAUGGGUAAUGACUUAAACCUAUAUGGCCCCUGGAUUGGACUGCGGCCGAUCAGGCUGCUGGUGAGGUAAUGGCCCACCAAACCUGUAACCGGUACGGGCUCUGAGAGGAGGAGCCCGGAGAUGGGCACUGAGACAAGGGCCCAGGCCCUAUGGGGCGCAGCAGGCGCGAAACCUCUGCAAUAGGCGAAAGCUUGACAGGGUUACUCUGAGUGAUUUCCGUUAAGGAGAUCUUUUGGCACCUCUAAAAAUGGUGCAGAAUAAGGGGUGGGCAAGUCUGGUGUCAGCCGCCGCGGUAAUACCAGCACCCCGAGUGGUCGGGACGUUUAUUGGGCCUAAAGCAUCCGUAGCCGGUUCUACAAGUCUUCCGUUAAAUCCACCUGCUUAACAGAUGGGCUGCGGAAGAUACUAUAGAGCUAGGAGGCGGGAGAGGCAAGCGGUACUCGAUGGGUAGGGGUAAAAUCCGUUGAUCCAUUGAAGACCACCAGUGGCGAAGGCGGCUUGCCAGAACGCGCUCGACGGUGAGGGAUGAAAGCUGGGGGAGCAAACCGGAUUAGAUACCCGGGUAGUCCCAGCUGUAAACGAUGCAGACUCGGUGAUGAAUUGGCUUAUUGCUAUUCAGUGCCGCAGGAAAGCCGUUAAGUUUGCCGCCUGGGGAGUACGGUCG